GGACAUAUAACUCAGCUGGUUAGAGUAUCACGCUGACAUCGUGAAAGUCACUGGUUCAAAUCCAGUUAUGUCCA
rnacentral:tRNA from 1 species